ensembl:lncRNA
CUGAGAGCAACAUUUAAAGAAAAUCUUCAGCUGUGUUGGAAAAAAAAAAAAAAAAAAAAAAAAACAAAACCCUAAGCCUGUGGAGUGAUUUAAGAUUUACCUUUCCAGUACAGCUAUUUAUUUGUCUGUUAGCAGAACAAUGCAAUUGCUGUGGAUUAUACAGGGACAGAAAGGAAAGGGGCCCUUCUCGAUGCUGAAGACUGCUGAAAGGCAGAAUGAAUGUCAGCAAGUGAAUUAAAACAGAGACUUGUGUGGGCCAAGGGAAGAUUUAUGGGAGAAGGCAACACAACCCUUCCCUGUGAUGUUUGAGCUCUUCCCAAAAACACUUUUUCUUGGAAUCUGAGAAGCUGGAAAGUGUUAGAAAAGGUGGAUUCAGUACAUGAGUGGCACGGCUACACAAUUGCUCGACCUGAAUGGUUUCCUUGUAUAGAUCAAAUUGCAGCUAAGAAUUCGGCAUGGCUUUUUUGUGCUUAUGUUGAGGAAGGAAAGCAGUUAUCAGUCAUAUGCCUUCACUAAAAUAUGCUAUCAGAAAAACAAAAUACUUACGUUUUCAACUUUGCCAUCCCCACUGGAGGAAAAAUGUGUUAUCUUCUAACAACAUGAUCUUGUUAAGCACAGUUAUUUAGAUGUUUAGCUGAAGACAAAACAAAGAAAACCUGAACAAAUUGUCUUGAAGCCCAUACUCUCAAGGUGAACUGAAAGAAAAAACAUUGUGACUUUGUCAAAGCAAAGUUCCAUGUUGCUUUUGAGUGGAGUUAGUAAAUGGAGUUCCUAUUUGCAGCAGCUCAUCUCUCAACUUCAGAAAAAGAAAUACUCUGUGACGUAGUGAACAUUUUGAUCUCUGAAAAACUUCUUCAAAUUUAAGAAAAUAAGAGUAACCUCUAUAGAUUUUUAAAAUACAGCCUGGAUAAAAAGAAAUGAACAUGGAGUUGAAUUUAAUUUCUGAUCUCUGUCCAGCCAAUCUCAACAUUUUAACCUUACCUCUGUAGUUAAGACAUCUGAAGAAAAACCUCUAAUGGAAGCUCCGAGGUGGUGACUCUGCGUUAGCUCUUUGUGUGCCCUUUCAGUCAUCUUGGUCACUCAGCUCAACUGAUGGCAGAAUAUUAUUUAGAGUAAAGUUUCAACGCAGCUUUCCACAUUUGCCUCUUCCAUUUCCUUUGCGAUAUCUACAAGUCUGGCAUAUUUCUGUCUGUGAAUUCUCCUCAGGACCAACUAUCUUAUUCUUCAAAGGAAACAAAACAAAAACAAAAAACAAAAAACAAAAACAACUUCAUCAAGCUAAGUUUCUAAUUUUCAUGUGCAUUCUCUGGGCACACCUCAGUCUCAGUGGGUAUAGAGUGCCAUACCUUCUAGCACACGCUUCCUCAGUGUUACGUGGCUGCAAACAUUAUUUGCAGAUUCUUCAGCAUUUGUUUCCAUAACUAAUUGCUUUCCAGGCUUUCCUGGUCAUUACUAAUCAAGAAUACCCAGAAAUGAGAGAAGGCAAAAACAGAUUCAUGAUUUGCCAGAGUUGUCACUAGGAGCUCAGCAUGGGGCAGGAUGGAUUUUCUGCAUUCAGGACAUUUAUCUGAGGUUGGACUUACUCCACAUGCAUGGUUCUCUGUCCUGAAAUGCAGUGACUCCUCUUAUACAACAAGGAAGGUGAAAACAAAUUUUUGAGAAUAUCAACACCCUACUUGAACAUGAUGCUCUUUUACAAACCUGGAGAAAACAAGCAAGCAAACAAAAAACCCCCACAACCAUAAGGAAAAAAACACACACUGUCAAUCCAUAUCCUCUCAAGAAACAGCAUCCUAAAUCCUAAAUAACCAAAAAGCAUAGACUAUGUCUUCCAUGUGAACUUGGUAGGAUGUAAGAAUGCAUGCAGACACCGACCACUGCUUCUGGAGACAGCUCAUCCUCGGGAACUUGGGGCACCUGCAGGUUUACAAAGCACCUGUGCAGGGAAUGUGCAAUAGGCCAUAGCCUGGUGUGGCCAUGGGAAGCUCUGCGAAAGGAGACCUGCAGGUCCGUGGAGCCCUGCUCCAAGAUGGUUGUGAAUGCCAACAGUAAGAGAGAGGCACUUCAAGAUGGACUCAUUAUCCCUGUUGCUUGUUUUGCUCAAGUCUUGCUGAGCUGUGAAAACAGACCAAGUGAUCAUCUUUAUGCUUUUGAAAUGCAUAUAGUUAGAGAAAUUUCUGCCAAAAAAUUUCAUUUCCCUUUUCCUGAUUUAGUGCUUCACAGCAACCUACAAAGAAGUCCAGUGAGCAAGAGGGAAAACAGUGCUCAGAAGAGGGAGUGUUUAAAUAUGCUUUUUUUCCCAUGUUUUAAUGAAACACCUGCAAAUCAAAAUCAUGUUGCUUGAUCAUAAUGUCUUGUACAUCAUCCUGUAUAAUUGCUCCCAUUGUACUCCUGCAGCACAGACUACGUGUCAAUUACUGCUUCCAGAUUUGGAGAUGUAUACGCUUGUUACACCAUUACUGAAAGGCAUGAAAAUAAAAGUGUUUUCAUUUAGAUUAUUAACAUUAUGUAAAUGGCAACGUAACUAGUCUUGAUUUGCUGCCACUAACUUGGAAAUAUUUAAACAUUAUUAUUACUUAGCUCAACGUUCCAGUUUUAUCACUGAAAUUAAUGCAUUUAGGCUCAAUUUAGGCUUGUCAACAAAUAAUGAUCAUAGAUGUGAGCUGGUUCAUAAUCCAGAGGUACUAGGUUACAAUGUGUUGCCAUGGAAACUGUGUUUUAUUGCAUUUUCUCUACUUGAUUUAAGACAUUUGACAAUCAUAGCAACUGCUUGCCUGUCUUCCCAUGUCAUAAAAAAUUCAAAAACACAAACAACCAAUAGGGGAAAUUCAUACAGUUCGUGGCCCUCGCUACAAAAAUAAUAAAAAAAAGAAAUGACAACCUUAUAUUUAAUAGGGCCUUUUUGUGAAUAGUUUAUCUCACAGAAUGUCUAGGAGUGUUGGAAAAUUCAAUCAGUGGUUAGUCAUCGAAUGGACCUGUCUUGCCUGUGGUUCAUUUUGUUUAUUGCAUCAUAUAUCUUUUAUGAUCACUGGGACUUUAGCCUGAAACAGCAUUUUCUUUAACAACAGCCAUGUUUCCUCUAAUGUUGUUUAUUGCAUCUGAAACAUUGCUCUUUGAAACCACGGUACAUUUUCAGUUGAGCAAAGGUCUGUAACAGAAUACAGCAUGUCUGUGUUUACUCAGGAUCCUGGGUAAAAAAAAUCCCAGUUCAUGUAACAUUAAUCACUUUGCCAGUGUUCAGCUGAGGUCAUUGCCACAUUCCUAGCAGUAUUAAGCCGAGUCAAGAUUAAUCACGUACAUUAAACCCUGCAAGGAAAGCACGUGAAGCGGAUCUGAAAUUAGACAUUUGGUGAAGGACUGGGAGAGAGCUGUAACAAAAUAUGUUAGCAGUGCUGCAGCAAGCUUUCAGAACGAUGAGGGGUUUUUCCUCCUGUACUGCUGUCAGCUCAUCUAUAUUUAAGGCUUUGUUGCUGUCUCCUUUAUUUAACUCAUUUUUUAGAAGUUUUAGAUAAAGCUACUAAAAUUCUCUCUGGAUUGCAGGAGUGAUUCACCCCCCUCCCCCCCCCCCAUCCCCCCAUUACUUAUUUAUAUAUUUAAAAAAUGCAUUAGUGUAUUUUUAUUUAACUCAAAUUAGGCCUUUGGGAAGAAAGAAG